rnacentral:tRNA from 1 species
GGAGGACUCAGUGGUAGAGCAUCUGCUUUGCAUAUAGAAGGUCCCAGAUUCAAUCCCUGGCAUCCCCA